rnacentral:sRNA from 2 species
UCUUUGGUCUUCAGGGGAGUAGUCGCCUGCCGCGUGCAGGGGGUACGUCAACACACUUGAGCCCGUGGCUCAUGGCGUAUCCGGCCGGUUGCCUGCCUUGGCACCGUGCU